CUUUUAUGCUUUGUUUUCUUUAUUUUAUUUGCAAAAAAUGUCAAUCCUAAAUAUAAUAAUGAAAAUCCUAUAUUUAAAUUUUCAUAAUGAAUUAUUAUGAUUAUCAAUGUUUUCUCACAAAGAAUACUUUAUAAAAUUGCUGAGCAAUGGCAAAUGUUAAGUUCUAUUAAGGACUUUUUAUUUCUUUAUAUGUUUUAUCUUGCUUUCUGUGAUAGGAGAAAAGGGCUAUUUCAGAAUCUAUUGUGGGCUAUCCACAUCUAUAAUGAGAUUAUCAAAAGGAGAAGAAUUAAAAUUAACUGGUCAAGACUGACUUCCAUGAAAAAAUCUGGAAGUGUAGAAACCAGUUUUAAUUCCAUAUGCUCCAAAUGUAAAUCUAUUUAAUAUACACACAAGAGCAGCCUAUAGACUAAUUAAAAAUUUUCACUGGGAAACCUGUAUUUUUUGAUUGUGUUAUAAUUAACACUAUUUAUUGAAGUAAUGUUUAUAAUUAAGUAGUAUUUUAUAUUUGAAUGAAAUAUUGAUGACAAACUUAAGAACACAC
rnacentral:lncRNA from 1 species